UACGGAGGGUGCAAGCGUUAUCCGGAUUCACUGGGUUUAAAGGGUGCGUAGGAGGGCAGGUAAGUCCGUGGUGAAAUCUCCGAGCUUAACUCGGAAACUGCCGUGGAUACUACCGGUCUUGAAUAUCGUGGAGGUGAGCGAAUAUGUCAUGUAGCGGUGAAAUGCUUAGAGAAUGACAUAGAACACCCAUUGCGAAGGCAGCUCACUACCCGAAUAUUGACUCUGAGGCACGAAAGCGUGGGGAUCAAACAGG
rnacentral:rRNA from 1 species